GGCAGAGGAGGACCGGUGGGGUGGGCUGGGACAAAGCCCGCCUCUGUAGUGCCGGCGAGUGGGGCCCAGCACUGUUCACCUCCUCGCAGUUCAGCCGGGACUGCUGUCCUCACCCUGACGCAAGGAAAGAGAGGUUGUUUGACCCGGCCAGAGUCACACAGCUUCACAGAGGCCCGGCUGAGAGUGGACCCUGCACUCCUGCCCCGACCUCACUCCCUCGAGGGUCCUCUGCCCCGACCUCACUCCCUCAAGGGUCCUCUGCCCUGACCUCACGCCCUCGAGGGUCCUCUGCCCUGACCUCACGCCCUCGAGGGUCCUCUGUCCCGACCUCACGCCCUCGAGGGUCCUCUGUCCCGACCUCACGCCCUCGAGGGUCCUCUGCCCUGACCUCACGCCCUCGAGGGUCCUCUGCCCUGACCUCACGCCCUCGAGGGUCCUCUGCCCUGACCUCACGCCCUCGAGGGUCCUCUGUCCCGACCUCACGCCCUCGAGGGUCCUCUGCCCUGACCUCACGCCCUCGAGGGUCCUCUGUCCCGACCUCACGCCCUCGAGGGUCCUCUGUCCCGACCUCACGCCCUCGAGGGUCCUCUGCUGCCAGAUGAUCUGUUACUCAUCACCAUCUUGUUCCUCAGAUGAGGGUGAGAACCUUUGACGGGGCCCACGUCCUGCGAAGGGGACACGGGGAUUUCUCACGGAGGCAAGACCCGGAGCGUUUCAGCAUUCGCCGAGCAUAAUUAAAAAGCAGGAAGAGAAUGAAUAAAGCAAUGUCUUUCUUACGAUGUGCAGCCCAAAGUCACGGUGUGGCUCCAUAACAUCCUGCUACCUCCUGGAACGAUGCGCGUGCUCGCAAGGCAAAACUUCAAGUUGCUGACAGAACUCACUCUGACAUUCUGUGGUGGGAGCCGUGGACGGAAACCCAGGCCUGCCCCCGCUGCCACCUGGGAUCCGUGAGGGCGGUGGGCCGCAGGGUAAGGGUAGCGCCAUUUGGUGUGAAGGGAAGAGAAAACACAGUCAGGGGUGCUCUGGGGCCUGGCCUGCAAGAGAGCGGGGGCCGCCGGAGACUUUCCCAUCACCUCUCUGUGGUUGGUCUCCUCCUCCGACCCCCUGAGCACUUUCUUUACUUUCCAAAAAUGUAAACGGGGGCUUCCGGACGGGGAGGUCAUGGUCGGCUCUUGGUGUCUGUGCUUCUCUGGGUAAAGCUAACUGGACCGCCGUCCUCCCAGCACAGGGCACACCUGGAGUGGGUGGUGGGGGACACGGGCACAGGUCUCAGGACCGUCAGCAGAUGUGAAAGUGGGCCGGCUGCUGGACGACCUGAGGGACCGCGUUUAUCCGGUCCCCACGGGGGUCUGUGGUUGCCCGUGGCGCCAAACCCCGGAGGAAACCGGCCUCGUUCUUUAGAAAUGCCCGGUGAAGUACCGAGGGGUAAAAUGCCACGCUCUCUGUCAGUUGGCCAAAAUCCUCUGACCCAAACAGUAGAUGGAGCAAAUAUAACAAAAUGCCGAAUUGUUAAAUCGGCGGGUAAGUGCCUGGGUAUGUGCGAUUCUCUUCUCUCUACGUGUGUGUAUGUUGAAGAUCUUUCCCACUCACUUGUUGAUCCGAGCCAGUGCUCCGGGCCACCGCCCCGCCCAGGGUACAAGGGUGGGAGUCGAAACCUCCCGGGUCAGCUGAGGGUCCAGCCAGCCUUGACUGCUGGGCAGGUGUAAUCACUGAAAGAAAAUGACAAAGUUCCGAUGACCCCUCGUCCGCUGCCCCGAACCCAGACUGUCUCCUUCCCCUCACGGCCUUUCUCUGUAUCUCUGUCUGAAGUUUUUUCCCACGAGGGAAACUACAUCAAGCCCCUUUCUCUAACUUAGUUAACUGGACGUCAGGGGAAAAUGGGCACAGAAUCACUUCUGUGGCCACCAUCCCACAUAGCAAUUAUUCUCAUUGCGUUUCCUCUGGAAUUAGCAGUCCUGGGCAUUCGGGGGUGAGAUAUUCCGAGGCAGCUUUGUGUGGACUGAGCAGGUAUGAAGUCUCUUUGUAGCAGACUUCCUGGGCCGUGCCGUGCAUCUUUCCAGGAGCCCUGGUGUGCAGUGUGUGUGUGCGCGGUGUUUCCCGAGCCCCACUGACCACACAACCUUCCCCGCCCGCCUGCCUCUUAUCCUGCAGGACGCCACUGUCACCCUCAUCAUUUUUCUGCCUCUCUGUGACCCAUUUACUUUAGAGACGCUGCAAACCGUCUGGGGGGAGUAGACUUCAAAGUAAUGAUGCUUCCAGCCAUAACCUGAGGUAAAAGAGUGAGGCUCUGUGCCCGCUCCCCCAGCCCACAGACACCAGGCAGCCCUCCUUGAGGAGCAGGGAGGAGCCGGGAGGAGCUGGCCUGUCACUCACUCUGUGGCCCUCGCCCGGGAGCAGCCCGGACCCACAUCCCUCUGGGGCCGGAACGCCGAGGGGACGCGCUGGCCUUGGCACCUGCCUCCCCAUGGCGGUCAACACGCUGGGGUUUAUCUCCCGCUUCCCCAGCUCAGAAGUCGUCCACAUUCAGGAAGAGAGAGUGUGACCCCAUGGCGACCGGUCUGAGCCUUCUGGAAGCAUCUUCAGAAACAUCAGUUUCAGCGGGAGCCCUCCUCGAGACACCGGGUCUACGUCCUUGGCCCGCAGUCACCCCAUUGCUUUGCUGAGUCGUGGAUGAUGCAGCUGGGGACACGUUGUUGUGGAAAGUGACAACUGAAGCCAGACAACUCCCAAGUUAUAGCUCACACCCGAGGUAGGGCAGCAGCUGCCUUCACAGAACUCAAACCACCGCCUCCGCUCCACGCUCGUCCUCCUGCCCAGAGGGACAGAGUUCCUGCGGAACGAUCCGUAGCCCAAAAGCUAGCAGCUGGAAAAAACAAACAUGUCACAGGGGCCGCGGUUGGGAACGGGGGCGGUCUCGCCAGGUGGUCCGCUCAGGGUCCGGUGUGGUGGCCGUCCUGCUCUUGGCUGCAACGGUGGCCUCAUCCUUGGUGGGGAGCUGGGGGUCCACUUCCAGGCUCACUUGUGUGAGGUGGGCACGAGGGGCCAGCUUCUGUCUGGACGCCGCCGGAGCGUCUCCCAGUCCAGCCGUCCAAGAGAGGGCCCUUGGGGUAGAAACACGGGCUUACCGACCCCGCUCAGAGCUGGCGCCCCCCUCAGAGCCGCCACCUCCUGCUGCCCCCACGGGCCACGCUGUGUGAUGACAGCACAGCUGUGCGGGACGAGAAACCAGGAGGUGCCGUGGGGGCCCCGGGCGGCCGCGAUCAGCAGAGCCAGUGCAGCAAGGUGAGCCUCCUUCACUGUAAAGAAACAUUUGUGCUGCCUGUUGGGGUUCUAAUGCUGUGCUGCAUGUUGCAGCAGAAGUCACAUCUCCGGCAGGACCUUAACGAACACCCUGUUUAAUCUCCUUACUCUGCCGCACAAGGAACUGGCCUUCCGGAGACAGGCAGAAGCUUGCCCAGACAUAAAGAUACAGUCACUGGCCGCAGGGCUGUGAUCGGAAUGCGUGCUCUAAUUCAUGUCCAUCUCACCCCAAUGGUUACCAAGAAGAAAGCACAGCCUCUGCUUUUAAGAAUCUGAAAAUUUUCUUCGGAAGGCGAAUGCCGUUGGAAUGAGUGAAUGCAACAUGGUCUUAGUGUUUUCCAAAAGCUGUAGAGGGGAUUCUGCCCCACAGUGAAGGUAAGAAAAAGGCAGUGGGUGUCUUAGCAUGUGAGCAAAAUGUUUGGAGUAAAUCACUGAGGAAGCUUAUUCAGAAGCAGGAGAGACGUCCAAGCGUCUGUCACAGGUCUGCCUUGCCCUGGACAGAGCUCUGCUUCCCACUGUGUCCAGAGGGUGACCGAUGACAGGUAUUCAAUAGCAUGUUUGUCGGCAAAGAGUGUUCAUUUGAGUUAAUUUAGUGCCAGGGAAGCGGAAAGAAAUGACACAUCCCCGUGGGGAACAAUAAUUGAAACAGGGUAGAUUUCUUAUCAGUGUGGAGACCAGAGCACAUGGAAGAACAUGUUUAAAAUGUGAAACCAAAAGAGCCAUCAAGUCAGAGUCGUAUCAGCAAAAGCAUCCUUCAGAGACAAGGAAGAUGCAGACCCCCGGGACACACUCUCAUUGCCUGGUGCAAUGGGCUUGCUUUGGAAGAACUGUUAAGGGCCCUUCAGGCAGAAGGAGGUGACACCGGAGGGCGACUCAGACUCCAGAAGGAGGAACAAGAGAAGCGGUAGAUCCCCGAGUGAACGCGGCGGACUAUAUCUCCUCUUCACGCCUGAUUUUCCUGGCUCUGAUGUCUGUUCUGUGUGACAUCAACAGGGCUGUCCGAGGGUUUUCCGUGUAUGUGCGUGUGAUACACAUGAGGGCCACGUGUAAAGGGAGAGGGGUCUAUGUGGUGACAGGGCUUCAUGCCGUCUGCAAAUAGACAGUUUUACUUUUUCCUCACCAGCUUGGGUGGCUUUUAUCACUUUUUGUUGUCUGACUGCUGCGGCCGGGACUUCCGGUACCGUGCUGAAUGAAAGUGGUAAGAGUGGACAUCUGCGUCUUGUUCCUGACCUCAGGGGCAAAGCUCUCAGGUUCUCACCAUUGAGGAUGAUGUUAGCUGUGGGUUUUUCACAUGUGGCCUUUAUCACACGUUGCCUCUUCACCCACUUUGUUGAGGGUUCUUAUCACGAAUGGAUGUUGUACUUUGUCAAACACUUUCUCUGCAUCUACUGAAAUGAUCAUCUGGUUUUUAUCCUUUCUCUUGUUGAUGUGAUAUAUCAUGUUGAUUGUUUUGUGAAUACUGGGCCACCUUUGCAUCUCGGUAAUAAAUCCCACUUGAUUUUGGUAAAUUAUUUUUAAAGUUAUUGUUGGAUUUGGUUUGCUAGUAUUCUGUUGAAGAUUUUUGCAUCUGUGAUCACCAGAGAAAUUGGCUUGUAGUUCUCCUUUUCGUAGUGUCUUUAUCGGUUUUGGAAUCAGGGUCAUGCUGACCUCAUAGAAUGAGGUCAUAGAAGAAGGUCAUAGAAGAAGUUUUCCUUCUUCUUCUAAUUUUGGGAACGGUUUGAGAAGAAUGGGUAUUUACUCUUCUUUAAAGGUUUGGUAGAAUUCACCUCUGAGGCCUCUGGUCCUACACUUCCGUUUGUUGGGAGUUUUUUGAUUACUGAUUUAAUUUCAUGGCUGGUUAUCCAUCUCUUCAACUUUUCUAUUUCUUCCUGUGGCGAUGAGGUUCUACAUCCCACUUGCAGUAGUAAAAUGUCAAUUGUAAGUAGAUUGACAAGUAGAGUGAGAAGUUAAUAUCUAUGUUGUAAUCUGUAGAGAAACCACUAAAGAAACUGGGAAGAGAUAUAGCAAAAAAAAAAAAAAAGAAAGAAAAGAAAAGAAAAUUUAAUAAAAACAAAA